UCCUGAUCGCGGGAGGUAGUGACAAUAAAUAACAAUGCCGGGCUUUUUCGAGUCUGGCAAUUGGAAAAAGAACAAUUUAAAUCCCUUAACGAGGAUCAAUUGGAGGGCAAGUCUGGUGCCAGCAGCCGCGGUAAUUCCAGCUCCAAUAGCGUAUAUUAAAGUUGUUGCAGUUAAAAAGCUCGUAGUUGGAUUUCUGGCAGGAGCGACCGGUCCGCCGCAAGGUGUGCACUAGGUUGUCUCCAGUCAUCUUUGUGGGAACUGCUCUGGC
rnacentral:rRNA from 1 species